AACCCUUCGGGCGAAGAUAAGACGGAUUAGCGGCGGACGGGUGAGUAACACGUGAGUAACCUGCCUUUUACACAGGGAUAGCCUCGGGAAACCGGGAUUAAAACCUGAUGAAACUAUCAAAUCACAUGAUUAAGAAAGUUAAAACUCCGGUGGUAAAAGAUGGACUCGCGUCCCAUUAGCUAGUUGGUGAAGGUAACGGCCCACCAAGGCAACGAUGGGUAGCCGGCCUGAGAGGGUGAACGGCCACAUUGGAACUGAGAAACGGUCCAAACUCCUACGGGAGGCAGCAGC
rnacentral:rRNA from 1 species